CACCGUAAAUCCUAUUUCCGCGGGGACCGAGGUUCCGUGUCACCAUGACAAAGACCAAGCGGCACCGCGAGGGAUGUCGGGAAUUGAGGUCCGGCGGGUAGGUUGACCUAAGGCACGUCUGAGGCUCGCCAGCGGCAUUGUCAGAAAGGACCAGGCCCUAGGCCAGACUGGGCCCACUGCGCCGGGUCCCCGUCCGAGACAGAGCUGGUGGACUUGGCAUGGUCACAUCUGUCAUGCUUGCCCUGUGACCUGUUGUGGAACUCCAGUAGGGGUACUGGACUCCUGUGUGGUCAUCCAGCUGGAACAUUGCAAGGAGCCCUAGCUGCUCACCUGGGUUGAUAUGACUCCACCAUGGCAGGUUCCUGCAGGCAUACAGAGUGUGAGCUAGGUCCUUCAAUUCAGCUUCUCCUUCCUGGUCAGCAUAAUCAAGCCUUCCCCCCACCCCCUCCCGCCUUUUCAAGAUGCUCACAACUGAAUCCCUGAAUCUGUGAGUAUGUUACUUUAUUUGGCAAGA